rfam:Octopus bimaculoides Scaffold8649_contig_114, whole genome shotgun sequence.
GUACCAGUUUCAGUAGUACAUAUACUAAUACUGAAACGAUAGAGAAAGAUUAGCAUGACAUCCGCGCAAAGGUGACACGCAAAUUCAUGAAGCGUUCCCAGGCGGU